ensembl:lncRNA
GGGAGACAAAUGGGAUUUGGUGGGAUUUGGGUCAUAAACUGGGGAGACAAAUGGGAUUUGGGUGGAUUUGGGUCAUGGAAUUGGGGAGACAAAUGGGAUUUGGUGGGAUUUGGGUCGUGGAAUUGGGGAGAAAAAUGUGAUUUGGUGGGAUUUGGGCCGAGGAAUUGGGGAGAAAUGGGAUUUAGUGGGAUUUGGGUCAUAAACUGGGGAGACAAAUGGGAUUUGGUGGGAUUUGGGUCAUGGAAUUGGGGAGAAAUUGGUUUUGGUGGGAUUUGGGUCGUAGAAUUGGGGAGAAAAAUGGGAUUUGUUGGUAUUUGGGUCAUAAAUUGGGGAGAAAAUGGAAUUUAAUAGGAUUUGGGUCAUGCAAUUGGGGAGAAAAAUGGGAUUUGGCGGGAUUUGGGUCAAGGAAUUGGGGAGAAAUGGGAUUAGUAGGAUUUGGGUCAUAAACUGGGGAGACAAAUGGGAUUUGGUGGGAUUUGGGUCAUAAACUGGGGAGACAAAUGGGAUUUGGGUGGUGGAAUUGGAGAGAAAAAUGGGAUUUGUUGGGAUUUGGGUGGUGGAAUUGGGGAGAAAAAUGAGAUUUGUUGGGAUUUGGGUGGUGGAUUGGGGAGAAAUGGGAUUUAGUAGGAUUUGGGUCAUGGAAUUGGGGAGACAAAUGGGAUUUGGUGCGAUUUGGGUGGUGGAAUUGGGAUCAAAACGGGAUUUGGGUCAUAAACUGGGGAGAAAAAUGGGAUUUGGGUGGUGGAAUUGGGGAGAAAAAUGGGAUUUGUUGGGAUUUGGGUCGUAGAACUGGGGAUAAA